rnacentral:lncRNA from 1 species
GGGCGGGAGCUGCGAGAAGGAGGUGGUGGUGGGAGCUGGCGGCGGUGGCGGGAGCGCGGUGCAAGAAGAGGCGGCGGCGGCAGGUUGGUAGUAGUACGAAUCUUGAGGCAAAGCAGAGUGGUAGACGUAAGGGUAGGAGAAGGGGGAGGUGGUGGUGGAGGUGGAGGAGGUGGGGGAAGAAGCACUCCGGAUAAAAGGUUCGAGUGCUUUCAUGAGCUCCUGGUCCGAGGAGGACGACGAGGAGGAGCUCAGCUGGUUUGUGUCCAAAUCUAUGGCUGCCAUUACGAAGAUGAGCAAAAGACUAGCAAGAGCUAAAAAC